rnacentral:rRNA from 1 species
CCCCAGACUCCUACGGGAGGCAGCAGUGGGGAAUAUUGCACAAUGGGGGGAACCCUGAUGCAGCGACGCCGCGUGGGUGAAGGAGUACUUCGGUACGUAAAGCCCUAUCAGCAGGAAAGAAAAUGACGGUACCUGACUAAGAAGCCCCGGCUAACUACGUGCCAGCAGCCGCGGUAAUACGUAGGGGGCAAGCGUUAUCCGGAUUUACUGGGUGUAAAGGGAGCGUAGACGGCAGUGCAAGUCCGGAGUGAAAGCCCGGGGGUCAACCCUGGGACUGCUCUGGAAACUGUAAAGCUGGAGUGCGGGAGGGGCAGGCGGAAUUCCUGGUGUAGCGGUGAAAUGCGUAGAUAUUAGGAAGAACACCGGUGGCGAAGGCGGCUUGCUGGACUGUAACUGACGCUGAGUCACGAAAGCGUGGGGAGCGAACAGGAUUAGAUACCCCUGUAUCC